UAGCAGAGGCUGUGACGAAAGAUUUUGGAAGGAUUGACAUCCUCGUGCAUUCUCUUGCCAAUGGACCAGAGGUAACGAAGCCACUCUUGGAGACAUCUAGAAGAGGGUAUCUUGCUACAAUUUCAGCUUCGAGUUACUCUUUUGUCUCCCUGCUUCGGCACUUUCUUCCAAUAAUGAAUCCAGGUUUCUUUUGAUUCCAUGAAAA